GCACUGCUGAGGAGUCCCAUAAUAGGACGGAACGGCCGUCAUGCUGUGC
rfam:Schistosoma rodhaini strain Burundi genome assembly, scaffold: SROB_scaffold0000794